GUGUCAGCCGCCGCGGUAAGACGAACCGUCCUAACGUUGUUCGGAAUCACUGGGCUUAAAGGGCGCGUAGGCGGUCGGCAAAGUCAGGGGUGAAAUCUUUCGGCUUAACCGGAAAAGUGCCUUUGAAACUAGUCGACUCGAGCGAGAUAGGGGCAUGUGGAACUUCCGGUGGAGCGGUGAAAUGCGUUGAUAUCGGAAGGAACGCCGGUGGCGAAAGCGACAUGCUGGAUCUCUUCUGACGCUGAGGCGCGAAAGCUAGGGGAGCAAACGGGAUUAGAUACCCCGGUAGUCCUAGCCCUAAACGAUGAGUACUAGGUUGUGGACUUGACAUGGGUUCACAGCCGAAGCAAAAGUGCUAAGUACUCCGCCUGGGGAGUAUGGUCGCAAGGCUGAA
rnacentral:rRNA from 1 species